AGUGAACGCUGGCGGCGUGCCUAGUACAUGCAAGUCGAACGCGAAAGUCCUUCGGGAUGAGUAAAGUGGCGCACGGGUGAGUAAUACAUGGGAACAUGCCCUUGGAUGUGGAAUAACGUGUGGAAACGAACGCUAAUACCGCAUAAUCUCGCGAGAGUAAAGGUGGCGCCGCAAGGGCUAGCGUCCAAGGAUUGGCCCAGGUCCCAUUAGCUAGUUGGCGGGGUAAUGGCCCACCAAGGCAACGAUGGGUAACUGGUCUGCGAGGAUGAUCAGUCACACUGGACCUGAGACACGGUCCAGACUCCUACGGGAGGCAGCAGUAGGGAAUAUUGCACAAUGGGGGAAACCCUGAUGCAGCAACGCCGCGUGAGUGAAGAAGGCCCUUGGGUUGUAAAGCUCUUUAGCGUGGGAAGAAGGUAGAUACGGUGAAUAAUCGUGUUUGCUGACGGUACCACGAGAAUAAGCACCGGCUAAUUUCGUGCCAGCCGCCGCGGUAA
rnacentral:rRNA from 1 species